GACGAACGCUGGCGGCGUGCUUAACACAUGCAAGUCGAACGGUGAAGCAGAGCUUGCUCUGUGGAUCAGUGGCGAACGGGUGAGUAACACGUGAGUAACCUGCCCUUGACUCUGGGAUAAGCGUUGGAAACGACGUCUAAUACUGGAUACGACCUUCGGAGGCAUCUUCUGGGGGUGGAAAGAUUUUUUGGUCAAGGAUGGACUCGCGGCCUAUCAGCUUGUUGGUGAGGUAAUGGCUCACCAAGGCGACGACGGGUAGCCGGCCUGAGAGGGUGACCGGCCACACUGGGACUGAGACACGGCCCAGACUCCUACGGGAGGCAGCAGUGGGGAAUAUUGCACAAUGGGCGCAAGCCUGAUGCAGCAACGCCGCGUGGGGGAUGACGGCCUUCGGGUUGUAAACCUCUUUUAGUAGGGAAGAAGCGAGGUGUUUAUUCACACGUGACGGUACCUGCAGAAAAAGCACCGGCUAACUACGUGCCAGCCGCCGCCGUAAGAC
rnacentral:rRNA from 1 species